UUUUCCUCUAUUUUGUAUUACUUAAAGGUAACCCUCUUGGUUUUCCUCUAUUUUGUAUUACUUAAAGGUAACCCUCUUGGUUUUCCUCUAUUUUGUAUUACUUAAAGGUAACCCUCUUGUUUUUCCUCUAUUUUGUAUUACUUAAAGGUAACCCUCUUGCCAGAGCUUGGUGGCUCAGCAUAAGUAGUUACAGCCCUGUGGGAGGGGCCUACUCUUGUCAGAACAAACUCCCAUCCAAUCACUUGAAAGCUGUUUAAUUUCCAUGACUACUUAUUGUGGCAUAAGAGGAGCAAACAAUAUUUUUUUAUGUUUACUACUAUUUUUUUACAUUUACUUUUUUAAAGAUACAAGACAGUAUGUUUUAAUGGCAAACCAAGCGAAUGUAAAACUCAAGCAAUGUUUACCAUUUAAAUAAGGCAUAAAAGAUUCAGUUGAUGUUGAUGUUUUCUUGAAUGUGGAUUAUUAUGUUUAAUGUGAAUAUUAUUUUUGUAUCUUAUACGUUGGUAGUCCUUUACACUCGUACCUGCAUACAGGUUAAAAAUGGCAGAUUUGGGGCACUAAUAAGCUCCUAAAUUGGAAUGUAGUGGCUGUUCAGUAACAUGCUAUACAUGACGUCAGAGCUCUGGCUGUGUGCCUCCCAGCUCUAUGGGUUUUGACUGACAGCCGUUCUGAACUUGAGCACCGUGCGCAACAAGAAGUUGCCCACAUCCCUCCCGGUAACUGGCCAACUUUUUAAAUGUUUUUGUUGUCUGAGUGAGCGAAAUGCUAUAAAUUGAGAUUACUUGUAUUUUGAAAGAUGAGAAUUUGAGGAUUAUAAUAAAUACCGCUUUGAUGUCAUACAAGCAAGCUAAACACCUAUGAUUCCAAAUGUGCACUUCACAUUCCCGAAUCAUAAAACUCAUGUUUACUACAGUACCACCAUGUUUUAUGUAGUUACAAGAUGACAUGGCAUCAUACCCUGGGUUGUUCUGAACAGAGUGAGCCUAUGUUUUUUUAUUGUGGCGAAAACUAGAGGCUCCACACGCACCGAAUGCACUCAUGACUCCUUUCUAUGGCCCCAACAUGACCAUCUGUUUCUCUGAACUGCCUUGUGAAAGCAUAACACUAUAAGAUUGUAUUUUAUGACUCAAUUUGGCAUUAGAACAAGAAUAGAAUAGCAAUAGAACAAGCUUUCAAAUCAUGCCCACCCUACCCACAUUGUGAUUUAUAAUGGACUGUUUUUGGGUUGCGUAAACAACAGCAGUAAUUCUGUGAUGGCGGGAAUGCAGGGUUGUGUUCCAAAUGAAACAAGUGUGCUUGCUCUAGUUCCUCAACCACACAGCUAGGAGAGAUGAAAAAAUACUUUCUAGUUGAAGACUCUUCUUUGAGUCAUAGAAGUGCAUUGAAAUUAUUUAGGAACUGUGCACACUUUGGAGAGGUGUGUGGCCACUUGGAGACACCAGUUAGUCCUCUCACUCAAACUCUUGUAAUUUUUUUGUUUUAUGUUGCACCUUUUCCAGGAAUAGUCUUGUCAUGUUACUGAAUAUAUCCAGAGUGUCAACAAAUGCUGCGGAAAAUACAGUAAAUGUCAAAUGCACAUUUAAUCAACAGUGUGAUGUUUGGAAUCAGUCUUGUGUCAGAUGAACUGUUGGACUCACCUUUGGUCUAAUAAUUUUCACAUCUCCAAACUUUUCCCUUUCAAUUGCUACCAUGGUUAUGCAUGUGCUUUUCAUAUUUCUUCUGUAAGAAACAUUUACAUUUAGCCCUAACCAUAUAAGCCAAUAAAACAAUUCUAUGCCUCGGCCAGAAACUGUGUGCAGGGGCAGGCGGGCUUGCGCUAAAGA